UCAAGGCUAAACAGACCCAGUUCUGACUGAGUUCAUACACAACGAGUACUCGCUUAAAACGACUUGUGGCAUCGCUUGUGUGUUCCACCCAACUUUUAUUCGCUCCAGUUCCGCAGUUCACAAUUUCCACACCGGAUCCGAGCAGUGUAAUCCCAUUACCUCCUCCGCUUCCUCUCGGCGCUCCGACCGAACGCAGGCCGGCACCGGAUCCGCCCCGUGAGGCGCGGCGCAGCGGGCCCCUCCUCUUCCUGCGGUGCGGCUGUAGCUACCCCGCUCUCCGGCUGUCUCCACACAGGCGGCUCGGUUGUGUCGGCGGGUUGUUGCCGGCUCGUCUCGCCCCCUCCCCCGUAGAGGCGGGGCCGGCGGUGCGGCCAUGCUGCUCGGCGCGGCGGUCCGGCACGGCCGGGCUGGAGGAGGCGCGGUGCGGCGUUGGCGGAGCGGGGCGGCGCGGCGGAGGGAGUGGGUGCAGCCGGCGGGCAGGGCCUGCGGAGUGGUGCUGUACAACAGCCGGAGCCGCAGCAAAGAGCCGCUGGUGCUGGCCAAGGACGGCCUGGCCACCUGGUACAGCUGCGGGCCCACCGUGUACGACCACUCGCAUCUCGGACACGCGUGCUCCUAUGUUAGGUUCGACAUCAUCCGAAGGAUAUUGACUCGUUUUUUUGACACUGAAGUUAUCAUGGUGAUGGGGAUUACAGACAUAGAUGACAAGAUCAUAAAAAGAGCCCAUGAGAUGAAUAUAUCGCCAGUAGCUCUUGCUCGUAUUUAUGAAGAAGACUUUAAACAAGAUAUGGCAUCCUUAAAGGUCCUUCCUCCAACAGUGUACAUGAGAGUGACUGAAAACAUUCCUCAGAUAAUUUCCUUCAUAAAGACAAUAAUUGCUAAUGGACAGGCUUAUGCAACUUCACAAGGCAACGUUUAUUUUGAUGUUAAGUCUUGGGGAGAGAGGUAUGGAGUACUAACUGCUGUUUCUCCUGAUACACAAGGUGAAGCAGUUGAUAACGAAAAGCGGCAUGGUAGAGAUUUUGCCCUGUGGAAAGCUGCCAAACCUCAGGAGAUAUCAUGGAGUUCACCCUGGGGAAAGGGAAGACCUGGGUGGCACAUUGAAUGCUCCACGAUAUCAAGUGCAGUGUUUGGAAGGCAGCUGGACAUCCAUACUGGUGGAAUAGAUCUCGCAUUUCCUCAUCAUGAAAAUGAGAUUGCGCAGUGCGAGGCAUAUCAUCAGUGUGAACAGUGGGGGAAUUAUUUCUUGCAUUCUGGGCAUCUGCACGUUAAAGGAAGUCAAGAGAAAAUGUCUAAGUCGUUAAAAAACUACAUAACAAUCAAGGAUUUUCUGAAGAAGUUUUCCUCGGAUCAGUUCAGGAUGUUCUGUUUGCGCAGCAGAUACAGCUCAGCUGUAGAUUUUAGCGAUGAGACCAUGAAUGAUGCCAAGAACAUUCUCCAGGCAAUCUCCUCAUUUAUUAGAGAUGCGAACGCUUAUAUAAAAGGACAGCUGGUGUGUGACCCUGUUAGAGAAGAUGUACUGUGGGAAAGGCUGGCCAGCACAAAGGUAAAUGUGAAGGCUGCGCUUGCAGAUGACUUCGACACCUCCAGGGCUGUUGCAGCAAUUAUGGACCUCAUUCACCAUGGCAACAGACAGCUUAAGGCUGUUACUAAGGAUGUUGGAUCUCCCAGAAGCUCGGUUGUGUACGGGAGCAUUACUUCCUAUAUAGAAAGCUUCUUUAAUGCCCUCGGGAUGUCCUUUGAAGAAAGACAGGUUGCGGUGGAAGGAGGAAAUACAGCUCUGCUCUCAAAUGUGAUGGAUGAGCUCGUGAGCUUCCGCACAAAGGUCCGUAAUUACGCUCUUGUGCUGCCGGAAGCCACAGAGACUGUGCAAAUGGAAGAAGGAGCAAAAGGACCAAAACAAGAACAGAAAGAGAAGAGACGGCAGUUGAUGCAGGAGAGAAAACCCCUCCUGGAGGCCUGUGACAGUCUGCGUGGGGACCUGGCUGCCUUAGGAAUCCACAUCAAGCUGCCAAGGGAGUGCUGUUUUGCCACUGAAAAUCCCAUCAUGUCCAUAAAUGCUGAGAUUGUCCCAGUUCCAUACAGAAGAAGGGCUGGGAGUGAUGUGUGCUGAUUUUUGAAGACUGAAGAGGAACGGGAAAGUAAACUGAGGUUACUGGUGGAGAUGCUGCCUUCCCUCUACCUACACUCCCGUACCAAAAGGGACAGAAGCACAGCUUCAACAUGGGAAAUGGUGGAAGGUGGGCAAGCAAAGCAGCGAGCUGAGGAGAAAAGCUGAGCCUUCGGCGCU